AAGCGGAGGAGCAUGUGGUUUAAUUCGAUGAUACGCGAGGAACCUUACCUGGGCUCGAACGUAAGAUGACUGUAGGUGAAAGCUUACAUCUCUUCGGAGCAUUUUACGAGGUGCUGCAUGGUUGUCGUCAGCUCGUGCCGUGAGGUGUCGGGUUAAGUCCCAUAACGAGCGCAACCCCUACCUUUAGUUGCCAUCAGGUUAAGCUGGGGACUCUAAAGGAACUGCCUAUGCAAGUAGUGAGGAAGGCGGGGAUGACGUCAAAUCAGCACGGCCCUUACGUCCAGGGCUACACACGUGCUACAAUGGCCGAUACAGAGGGCAGCUACCUGGUGACAGGAUGCAAAUCUCCAAAGUCGGUCUCAGUUCGGAUCGGAGUCUGCAACCCGACUCCGUGAAGUUGGAUUCGCUAAUAAUCGCGCAUCAGCCAUGGCGCGGUGAAUACGUUCCCGGGCCUU
rnacentral:rRNA from 1 species